GCCACCACCAGAGAAGCAAAACUAAAGGAAAGAAAGAAAUAGCCACCGGUAGCGUAUUUUGCCCAUCAGACUCUGCAACUGACAUCCACUUGUGCAGCAAUUCAUGCAUGACUCCCCUCCAACAUUCCUAAAAGACUAGACUUAGAUCAGACCCUGGAAAGCAAAAACUUGGACCUGUGAGACUGUGGGUCAAGCUAGACAUUACACCAUUCAUACAAUUGGUGAUUGUGCAAAGAGCAGGUGUGGAGAGCCGAAUCUGGAUCAGGACCCUGGACAGAUGGAUAGAGAUUGAAUUCUAUGGAAUGCAAAUUGCGACACAAGAAAACACAAUAUGAGAAAUAAGAGAAGCAAGAAAAACACAAUUAAAAAACCACACAGCAUCUAUCACAGUACAUAACCACUGCUACAACAGGUGGGGCGGGACCAUUAAGUGGUCUGCCAAGACCAUCAGCACUUUUAAAGAGUUCCGUGGGGGAAAAUGUUUAGGAACCACUGUUCUGCUGACCUUCCUUCAAGUACUAGACUGAUACUCUUAGGGUGACCUCAUUUCCUGCUCCUCCCUCCCUUCUUCAUCCCACCUUGGGAGAGGAGACAUCGUAUCUUUCCUCUGUCUCUCUCCUACAGAGAUGAAAGAGCAAAGCAUGGCUGUUCGCAUCUCCAACUUUAGUCAGCUAGA